rnacentral:rRNA from 1 species
AUGUACAAGAGCUGCUCAGCCGCACAAGAGUUGAGCAAAAAGAGAAGAAUUAGAAAUAGAGACAUGGCAAAAGGCAAACCUUCAGCAAGUGAAGUAAGGCAAACAAGGAUCUCCGAAAAAGAUUUUCUCCAGUUUCUCGAUAUUUUGCUAAUCCGUCAAGAGUCAAGAUGUGCAUCCAGCAACAACUUCAACAUUGUCUACACAGGGAACAGAUCACCAAGAACAAAAGCAGAAGAAAUAGCUUCAUCUCUCUAUCACUACAUCAGAGAGACAAACCAAGCUGGAGGAUCAACAUCUCUGGUCUAA